UACGUAGGGGGCAAGCGUUGUCCGGAAUCAUUGGGCGUAAAGAGCGUGUAGGCGGCCAGAUAAGUCCGCUGUGAAAUCUCGAGGCUCAACUUCGAGCUGUCGGUGGAAACUGUCUGGCUAGAGUCCGGAAGAGGAGAAUGGAAUUCCUGGUGUAGCGGUGAAAUGCGCAGAUAUCAGGAGGAACACCGGUGGCGAAGGCGGCCAUCUGGACCGGCACUGACGCUGAGGCGCGAAAGCGUGGGGAGCAAACAGG
rnacentral:rRNA from 1 species